CUUAGCCAUCAAUAUAACCCAACAAUGUUUAUAACAAGACAUAGCCUAACACCAAAAACUAAACCAUUUUUUUACCUGAGUAUGGGAGACAGAAAAGGUUCGACCAAAGCAAUAGAAAAAGUACCGCAGGGGAAAGCUGAAAGAGAAGUGAAACAACCCAUAUAAGCAAUAAAAAACAAAGACUAAACCUU
rnacentral:rRNA from 1 species